UUGUCAAUAUCCCAUUUUUCGGUUCAUGGAGGAAGUUUUGCUUUGCUUCCCCUUUCACUAGCAAUACCCGCAGCUCUUGCAGGACUUGGGCAUGCUUUAAUUCAAUUAGUAUGCCUUUGUUUUUUUUUUUUUUGCAUCUAGUCGUUGGUUACUUAACAAGGUAUUCCAGUUGUCAAUGGGAUUUGAUUCUGUGCCGCUUGGAUGGCACUAUUUAUUGGCUAGUGGAUGGUCUUGUGUAUGGUAAAUAGUUACCUUGGAACAAUGGUUGAUCAAAGGUCAAAAACCAUUAAUUUAUUUGUAAUUAUGUAAAGAUGAUAUAGCUGUGUUUUCAGUGCCUCGUGCUUUAACUUAAGCUGUGUUUUCCGCAUCUUGAUUUUGCUUUAGAUGAACAUGUGUUCAUAUGAGGAGGACACAGUUUUACCAUGGUGCUCUAUGCUUUGAGAUUUAAGCCUGUGUAGGCAAGCUUGUUGCAGAUGUUUGGUCGUGUGGUGUAACCUUAUAUGUGAUGCUGGUUGAGGAUCCUGAUGAACCUAUAGACUUUGGGAAGACAAUACAGGCACCAAAUGGAUCCUGCUGUUACUUGCUACUCGCAAAUGUUAUUCAAUUUACUUUUAUGAAAGAACAUUUUGUUGAUUCUGUGCAGAGAAUUCUUAACGUCUAGUAUUCUAUUCAGGACUCCAUUCAGAUAACAUCCAGAAUGUUGCCACCUGAUUUCAAGGAUUUCUUAUGCCGAUCCUGCAAAUGAUUACCAUUCCUGAAAUCAGGAAUCAUGAGUGGUUUCUGAAGAAUCUUCCCACCGACCUGAUGGAUGAAAAGACAAUGGGCAGCCAUUUUGAAGAGUCUGAUCAGCCCAUGGUCUUAAUAGAUGCAUGUUGGACAAUCUGGACAUGGACUUAGAUUGUGAAUCCGAGCUUGAUAUUGACAGCAGUGGGGAGAUAGUUUAUGCAUUGUAAUCCUAUCAUUAUGCAGUUGUACUUCCGGCAUGCCUUUGCAAGAUGUUGUCCAUGGAGCACAUGGAUGUAUGGAGUUCAAAUUCAAAAGAAACGUGUUGUAGAAUAUAGCAGGUGUAGAAUAGGCAACAGCAUGGGAAAGUUCAAUUUAUGCUUCUUUACGUUUCAUGUUCAUAUUAUAAGCUUUCAUACCAUUGUGACCGGAGGGAUUUGAUCUGAUUCAUGUAGGGUGGAAACUGGUACAAAUUCUGGAUGUCAGGGGUUGUCCACCCUCUGCCGUCCGAUCGAACUAGUCUGUUCAUUAUUCAGUUUUGCGUCUGUCCCUGUAUUUUGUCUGUUGUGCUAUGGCA